CCAGACUCCUACGGGAGGCAGCAGCUAAGAAUCUUCCGCAAUGGACGAAAGUCUGACGGAGCGACGCCGUGUGAAUGAAGAAGGCCGAAAGGUUGUAAAAUUCUUUUGCAGAUGAAGAAUAAUCAUAGGAGGGAAUGCCUGUGAGAUGACGGUAAUCAUGCGAAUAAGCCCCGGCUAAUUACGUGCCAGCAGCCGCGGUAACACGUAAGGGGCGAGCGUUGUUCGGAAUUAUUGGGCGUAAAGGGUAUGUAGGCGGUUAGGUAAGCCUGGUGUGAAAUCUACGAGCUCAACUCGUAAACUGCAUUGGGUACUGCUUGACUUGAAUCACGGAGGGGAAACCGGAAUUCCAAGUGUAGGGGUGGAAUCUGUAGAUAUUUGGAAGAACACCGGUGGCGAAGGCGGGUUUCUGGCCGAUGAUUGACGCUGAUAUACGAAGGUGCGGGGAGCAAACAGGAUUAGAUACCCUGGUAGUCCGCACAGUAAACGAUGUACACUAGGUGUCGGGGCAAGAGCUUCGGUGCCGUAAGCAAACGCAUUAAGUGUACCGCCUGGGAAGUAUGCCCGCAAGGGUGAAACUCAAAGGAAUUGACGGGGGCCCGCACAAG
rnacentral:rRNA from 1 species